UACGUAGGGGGCAAGCGUUGUCCGGAUUUACUGGGCGUAAAGAGCGCGUAGGCGGAAAUUUAAGCGUGGCCUGAAAGCCCCCGGCUCAACCGGGGAGUGCGGCUGCGAACUGGGUUUCUUGAGGACGAUAGAGGAGAGUGGAAUUCCUGGUGUAGCGGUGAAAUGCGUAGAUAUCAGGAGGAACACCCGAGGCGAAGGCGGCUCUCUGGGUCGUACCUGACGCUGAGGCACGAAAGCGUGGGGAGCGAAC
rnacentral:rRNA from 1 species